CUCUUAAGAACUCAUCAUUGCAUUGUGAUUGUUCUUAUUUUUUUUUUUAGGGCUGCAGAGAAAAUGAAACCCAAGGUUGGAAUCUCAGGUCCCUGAGAAAGAUGUUUCCAAAGACAAGCAUUGAAUUAUCUUAGGCAAGAAUUAGGAAGCUGCUUAUGCAAACCAGUCUAAACCUGCUCUAUAUAUAGGGAAACUACUUCUCAUGAUCUAGUUUUGUUGUUGAUAUGAUUAUUUUGU